AAUGAACGUUGGCGGCGUGGAUUAGGCAUGCAAGUCGCGCGUAAAGAGUAGCAAUACUCGGAAGCGGCGUAAGGGAGAGUAAUACAUAGGUAUUUACCCUGGGGUCUGGGAUAGCGGCGGGAAACUGCCGGUAAUACCAGAUGAUAUCUCCGGAUCAAAGGUGUGAUUCCGCCCUAGGAGAAGCCUGUGGUCUAUUAGCUAGUUGGCAGGGUAACGGCCUACCAAGGCAAAGAUGGAUAUGGGGCGUGAGAGCGUGCCCCCACUCACUGGGACUGAGACACUGCCCAGACACCUACGGGUGGCUGCAGUCGAGAAUCUUCGGCAAUGGGCGCAAGCCUGACCGAGCGACGCCGCGUGCGGGAUGAAGGCCUUCGGGUUGUAAACCGCUGUCGAAGGGGAGGAAAUUGUAGUGGGUUCACCCAUUAUAUUGACCGAUCCUUGGAGGAAGGGCCGGCUAAUCUCGUGCCAGCAGCCGCCGUAAGAC
rnacentral:rRNA from 1 species